GACGAACGCUGGCGGCGUGCUUAACACAUGCAAGUCGAACGAUGAAGCCAGCUUGCUGGUGGAUUAGUGGCGAACGGGUGAGUAACACGUGGGCAACCUGCCCCCGGCUCUGGGAUAACUCCAAGAAAUUGGUGCUAAUACCGGAUAUUCACAUUCUCUCGCAUGGGGGUUUGUGGAAAGUUUUUCGGCUGGGGAUGGGCCCGCGGCCUAUCAGCUUGUUGGUGGGGUGAUGGCCUACCAAGGCGACGACGGGUAGCCGGCCUGAGAGGGUGACCGGCCACACUGGGACUGAGACACGGCCCAGACUCCUACGGGAGGCAGCAGUGGGGAAUAUUGCGCAAUGGGCGGAAGCCUGACGCAGCGACGCCGCGUGAGGGAUGACGGCCUUCGGGUUGUAAACCUCUUUCAGCAGGGACGAAGCGAAAGUGACGGUACCUGCAGAAGAAGCACCGGCCAACUACGUGCCAGCCGCCGCGGUAA
rnacentral:rRNA from 1 species